AGUGAACGCUGGCGGUAGGCCUAACACAUGCAAGUCGAACGGCAGCACAGUAAGAGCUUGCUCUUACGGGUGGCGAGUGGCGGACGGGUGAGGAAUACAUCGGAAUCUACUUUUUCGUGGGGGAUAACGUAGGGAAACUUACGCUAAUACCGCAUACGACCUACGGGUGAAAGCAGGGGAUCUUCGGACCUUGCGCGAUUGAAUGAGCCGAUGUCGGAUUAGCUAGUUGGCGGGGUAAAGGCCCACCAAGGCGACGAUCCGUAGCUGGUCUGAGAGGAUGAUCAGCCACACUGGAACUGAGACACGGUCCAGCCUCCUACGGGAGGCAGCAGUGGGGAAUAUUGGACAAUGGGCGCAAGCCUGAUCCAGCCAUACCGCGUGGGUGAAGAAGGCCUUCGGGUUGUAAAGCCCUUUUGUUGGGAAAGAAAUCCAGCCGGCUAAUACCUGGUUGGGAUGACGGUACCCAAAGAAUAAGCACCGGCUAACUUCGUG
rnacentral:rRNA from 1 species